rnacentral:rRNA from 1 species
UACGAAGGUGGCAAGCGUUACUCGGAAUUACUAGGCGUAAAGCGCAGGUAGGUGGUUGGAUAAGUCCGUAAUGAAAGCUCCUGGCCUAACCGGGAGAGGUUUAAGGAUACUGUCCGACUCGAGUGUGGGAGAGGUGACUGGAAUUCCUGGUGUAGCGGUGAAAUGCGUAGAUAUCAGGAGGAACACCAACGGCGAAAGCAGGUCACUGGCCCAAUACUGACGCUGAGCUGCGAAAGCUAGGGGAGCAAACAGG